GAUGCCCCCAGAGGUAUUACACGUGUGGCUGCUGUGUGACCUGUGCGUCAGUAAGCGGCAGAGAGGAGAGAGGCUCUGUGUCGAUGUUCAGUGUUCUAACCUGUGAACAUCUGAAAGGUUAGUAACUUAACUCU